rnacentral:lncRNA from 1 species
CUGAUGUGUGCCACGGUCAUUGGAAUUAGGUCAAUUUUAUAUAGAAUAAAGAACAACAACUAUUUAGUGUGUUAUAACCUAUUUAAAGUUACAUUUGUUAUUUGCGCUGCGCGUUUGGUAAAAGACAUGAAUACAGGUCUUUACUCCUCUGGGACAAUACACCCUGGGACUUUACACCUUCCAAACCUGAGACAUUACUCCUCCAAAAGGGAGGUGUAAAGUCCAAGACUGUUGCUACACGUCAUCUUGCCUUGUCGUGUGACAACUGUGGAAAAUGGCAGCAUAUCAAAUGCGGAAACUCUGGUCAAUUACCAACCUCACUGGGUCAAGUUCUAUAACUCUUAACAUGUAUUUUGAGCACUUAGAAAA